rnacentral:lncRNA from 1 species
AGAUUUUGACUUAAUGUGUAUUAUUUAUUUUUAUGAAAAUUGUGGACACAUAACCAAGAUAAAGAAGUCAGGUAUUCCAUAGCCAUUCCUUAUCUCCUUUCUGCUUAGUUGACUUUCUAGCUGAGUGGUGCACAGUGCAUGGAAGAUUCCACUUAGCCGGACCAGGAAGCUUGGUCUCAUCUGUGGUGCACACCAACAGCAAACAUUGAUGUAAUUCUCUACAACUUAAUCUUUGGCACAUAGAGGAUUUGGGGGUCUCCAUGUUCAGGGCACAAUGGCUUUAAUAAGUGCUGGAAAAUCACUGAAGCUAAACCAAGAGCACCAGAUCCUCUUUACCUAAAUAACCAGUCUUUAACAUGAGCUAGUCCCUGUACCAUAGUAUUGUUUCAGCUGUAGUUGGUUGUCAUGUUAAUAAGACAGCUGCACGUCUACCUUCUUUUCUUUUGAUUUCCAUUGUCUUGGUAAGUUAUUGUUAGGGUUAUUUUUAAUGUGCCUUCCAGCCAGAAAAAUCAGCUGUCUAAAGAAGCAUUGCAAUUGUAAUGGGGACUCUUACCUCUUAGAAUGCAAGAUUUUCCCUCCUCCCUCCCUCUUCUCCAUCUCUUUCCCUCAUGAUUUGAGAACUGUAAUAAUCCUCCACUGGUGGCAUUACCUACCUAGAAAACCUGCUGAUUCUUAGCAUGGAACUUUGCUUCAGUUUGCAGGACAAAGUCUGCUUCCUUCCGGUCUUCAUUUACUUUUUAUACAAGGGAUGCAGUCAGCUCUCCAUGUAUAAGAUACCUAGAUGAUGGAUACAUAUUUCAUAAAUGAAAUUUAUGUCAUUAAUGAAUAUCCCCUUGCCCACAACCAGCUCAGGCUUUCAAAAUUCGAGAAUGGUCAUGCCACACAGCAUUCUAAUCUAGAUGGAUUAAUUCUGUUGUUCAAAACAUUCUCAUACCUGCCUUUAUAUUGAAAACAAAUUCUAGAUACAACUGGGGUUAUUCUGGAAAAGCACAUUCUCACCUUUUUUUUUUUUUUGAGACGGAGUCUCGCACUGUCGCAGGGCUGGAGUGCAUUGUCGUGAUCUCUGCUCACUGCAACCUCUGCCUCCUGGGUUCAAGCGAUUCUCCUGCCUCAGUCUCCUGAGUAGCUGGGAUUACAGGUGCCCACCACCACGCCCAGCUAAUUUUUGUAUUUUUAGUAGAGAUGAGGUUUCACCAUGUUGGCCAGGCUGGUCUCUAACUCCUGACCUCGUGAUUCACCCGCCUUGGUCUCCCAAAGUAGUGGGAUUACAGGCGUGAGCCGCUGCGCCUGGCCCAUUCUCAUCUUAUUCAAAUUACUGGCACAUGGGCAAGAGAGACAAUGACAUGGAUAGAAGCUUUUCUGCCUUUCUCUGCACACACAUACAGUGAAGGAACCACAGGCAGAUUUUUUGAUCAGUUUGGUGAAUACAUUGCUCGUUGUCACUGUUCCAACCACAUUGGUAAAAAAAAUAGUUACCUUUUGUCCUUUGGAUGUCAUGUCUAAACUUUGGAAAAUAUAAGUCAUUGCCCUUUUAGAGAAUGUUUGUGUAGUCCAAAGAUUGUGAGCUCCAUAUAGUAUGAAAAUCAAGUACUUUUGCAUGAGCAAUAGCAGUUUCAAAGUGAAAUAUUAUAAUUUAAUCUUUUUCAAGUAGAUCAAAAAUUCUUAACUGAUUAAUAAAAUAUUUUAUCAAUAUAUCAUCCCCCUUUCAGAGAGAAGUCCCCAGAAGAGACAGCACACUUAGCAAUUGCCCUCAUUAUUAAAGGCCUAGGUGAGUGGCAUAAAGGGCCAUAUGCGAUUAUGUUUCAAGGUAAACAUUACCUAACCUUGUGUGGGUUAAAAACAGUGAAGUGUCCUUGUAUCCUGAUAAAAUUUUUUUUUAAAUAACAUGGUGGGUUGACAUUUUUGCAUCUGCUAUAAGUUUUCUCACAUGUCGUUCUUCCUGGUGAGAGCGGGCUGCAUCAUUCUGGCACUUAAUUUGGGUGUUCGAUUUUGCUAUAGAGUUCUUUGCAGUACAGCAUAGCCUCUUCUUGGCCUUGGGAACAGUGAACUCUUCUUUUGAUGGUGUGGAUUGCAUGCAUAUCUGGAGAGAGGAGGGCUCAGGACUGUGUUCACUUUAUUUGGUCAGAUGUAUUUUAUUUGAAAACCAUUUGAGCCCAAAAUACAAGUGUACCCUUCCCACUUCUGGCUCAAGCACCCGUGAGCCGACUAGACGUAAUAUUAAAACUUACUGAUGCUGGGUGCGGUGGCUCAUGCCUAUAAUCCCAGCACUUUGGGAGGCCAAGGCAGGCAGAUCACCUGAGGUCAGGAGUUGGAGACCAGACUGGCCAACAUGACGAAAUGCUCUCGCUACUAAAAAUAGAAAAAUUAGCCAGGCGUGGUGGCACACCCCUGUAAUCCUAGCUACUCGGGAGGCUGAGACAGGAAAAUUGCAUGAACCUGGGAGGCAGAGGUUGCAGUGAGCAGAGAUUACACCACUGCAACGAGACUCGGGCCCAGACGAGAUCUGCCUGGGCGACACAGUGAGACUCUGUCUCAAAAUAAAUAAAUAAGUAAAUAGAACCUCCUGAGCUACCCUGGCUUAUAAGGAUUCAGAUUACUUUAGGAAAUUAGGCAUUAGCACUAGGAGGGGGGAAGAUGGCUGGCAAAACUUCUAGCUAGCAACCUAUGUCUAGCACAUGGGUAACUAACCAUAGCGAGAUCCUGAACACAUAUCCUCUAGGUGCAGGUGGAGGGAACGAUGUCCAAUACCUGAAGCAGAAUCUCACAUGGACGGAACGUCUGUAUUUCCCUCUCCUGCACGAAUCACUCAUCAUUCUUGGAGGGCUUCUCUGCAUUCCUCCUUUUCUUCUCUCCCCUCCCCUGCCUUUUGUCUUUUCUAAAGAGUCUGAACUCCGAUUUCCAUGCUCUCCUGCUACAUUAAUAAGCAAAACCUGCUUGUGUGUACGGUUCUUUACUGGAAACAUGACUUUUUGUUUCUGUAUUGGUUUUACUGUCAUCCAGUUUUCUAGUUUAAUAUCUAGCAAAACUAAAUCUGAAUGUACUCGCUUUUUCCGUUAAGUAUGCCAAGCACCUCGGUUGAAAGGCUUGACUCAAACCAGAAGUCUUGCUGGAAUUCGUCUCUGAACACUUGAAAAACAGAAACCCUGAGCCGCAACAAACAUGCCUCUGUGUGUCGGGAUUGCCUUUGUCUCUGCUUCCAUGUGGCUUUUCCUUUUGUAGCUAUGCUUAGUGACAUAAUCUUCCCUCUUCUAGCCUUCUCCUUUCAAGCCUGUCUGUUAAUUAACCAUGUCAGUAUUGGCAAGCAUUUAUCUUCCCCCACCCUAACAUGCAAUCUUCUAAGAAUUUUGCAAAAUUCUAAACAAAUAUAGAGAUGGUAUAUAGAAUUCAUAUCUAGAAAACUUUGAUUUUAAUGUGAGCUUAUCAAAUUUGUUCUGGCUUUUUUGGCACUAAGGCAAAAACAUGUUAACCAGAAAUAAUUUAUUCUUCAUGUAUGUAAAAUAUUUGAGAAUGUUUAGCCUUUUAUUAGAAUUUUAUUUGGAAAAUAUUUAUCUUUCUACACAUUUUACACUUAUGUUCCUUUGCUUAUAACCCAAUUUCUUAACUUUUUUGUUACUUAAGCAAAUAUCAAUUAUGUUUUAUUAUCUAAUAAAGUGUAAGAUUCUUACUAUC